UGGGGAAUAUUGGACAAUGGAGGGAACUCUGAUCCAGCAAUUCUGUGUGUGUGAAGAAGGUUUUAGGACUGUAAAACACUUUUAGUAGGGAAGAAAAAAAUGACGGUACCUACAGAAGAAGCAACGGCUAAAUACGUGCCAGCAGCCGCGGUAAUACGUAUGUUGCGAGCGUUAUCCGGAAUUAUUGGGCUUAAAGGGCAUCUAGGCGGUAAGACAAGUUGAAGGUGAAAACCUGUGGCUCAACCAUAGGCUUGCCUGCAAAACUGUUGAACUAGAGUACUGGAAAGGUGGGUGGAACUACACGAGUAGAGGUGAAAUUCGUAGAUAUGUGUAGGAAUGCCGAUGAUGAAGAUAACUCACUGGACAGAAACUGACGCUGAAGUGCGAAAGCUAGGGGAGCAAACAGG
rnacentral:rRNA from 1 species